GAUCCUAUAGUCAAGUGGUUACGACGUGGCAUUGUGGCCUUCUGAACUGUCUAGGCAGCUCAGUAGCAAUUCUGCCGAGGCGAGUGUUCGAUUCACUCUAGGGUCA